UUGGUCAGACCCAACCCAGCUUCAAACGACCCCUUAAGUCUGAUAUAGGCCAAAUAAGCCCCCAUUCUUGGCAUAACCUUUUAGAAGGGUAAAACCCUAGUCGUCAUAGAGAGAUUUCUCUCUCCACGUCACUGCUUUGCCGGAAACGGCAAAUUCUCAAGCCAAUAGGGGUCGCCUCAAUCGCGCUAAGCCAUUUCGGGUAAGAGCAUUAAUUUCUCUUACCUUCUCUCACCUCUCUCCAUCGAAGAACCGCCCAAACAUGGUAUAAUCUCUUCUUAUUCUUGCUUUUUCUGCUCUUUUUGGUCAACCAAGGACAAUGUUGUCUCAAGGUGAAUUCAACCUAUAAGAUCCCAUUGGUUCAUGUGAAACCAAAGGAUUCCGUUGAGUGUUCAUGAAAUCUAACCCUCCAUAUAUUUUGCACUAAAUCCCGACCGCACAAUGUUGAAAUUGAGGGAACAAAUCCCAGAUUUUCACUUGCCCCACAUCGGAUUCAAACCUAAAAGAUUAGGAUUUUGGGGUGCUAUAUAAAGAACCCCAAUCCUUCACAAUCACCGGACCGAAGAUCAUCAUAUAUUCACAAAAAUCUGAAAAUACCUAGGGUUUUAGCAAUUUUCUUGAAACCUUUAAUUUUUUCAGAUUAGUUAAGUUUUAAAACUUGUUUUUUUUUUCUUGUUUGUGGCUGAGCUUGAGGUGAAAAGAGCAUAAAGAGGUCUCCAAUUUCAAACUCGAUCAAGGCUGCCCCCGAGAAAGCUAUGCAGCAUGUGGUUUUCCACAGCAACGUCAAUGCUGAAGUACCAGAAGCUUACUAGGUACUAUAUUUUCCUAUGUAUUUCAGAAACGUGAUUGUAGCCUUUUAGUCAUUAAGUCUGGUGGAUAUUUCAUUUCAUGGAAAACAACUCUGUUGCAGUGUGAAAAAUGCAUUAACUUCAGUCUUUUUAAUUUGGAGCUGUAGAUUGUUUCAUAGUAAGCUUUCAAUAAAAAGUUUUCAUCUUUCUGCCUUUUGCAAACCUAUUUUAACUACCUAUAUUCUUUGUCAUUUUCCUGAAGAUAAUUUUAUUUUGAUUCACUGAAUUGAAAUCUCAAGUCUAGAGUAGUAAUCUAGAUGAAAGGAUAGAAACUGCAGCUAUAACAUGCUUUUUAUCUGGCAAGAGAAUCAAGUUUUGCCUUCUACAUAUAUUGCCUUCGUGUGUACAUGUAAGAUUGUGAUUUUGGUUGAGCAAACCCAAACUCUGCUCCUAUUUUAAGCAUACAAUGUGGAGUUUUUGGACUCAAAAAAUCCAAAAAUGCUUUGAUAGAACAGAGCAAAACACCUGUCGUUGUUAAGUCAUAAAUGUAUUCAGAACUUAAAGAGUAUGGUAUAAUGCUGAUUUUUUCUAUUGA